UGCAGUCGAGCGGUAACAGAUCCAGCUUGCUGGAUGCUGACGAGCGGCGGACGGGUGAGUAAUGCAUAGGAAUCUGCCCGAUAGUGGGGGAUAACCUGGGGAAACCCAGGCUAAUACCGCAUACGUCCUACGGGAGAAAGGGGGCUCCGGCUCCCGCUAUGGGAUGAGCCUAUGUCGGAUUAGCUGGUUGGUGAGGUAACGGCUCACCAAGGCCACGAUCCGUAGCUGGUCUGAGAGGAUGAUCAGCCACAUCGGGACUGAGACACGGCCCGAACUCCUACGGGAGGCAGCAGUGGGGAAUAUUGGACAAUGGGGGCAACCCUGAUCCAGCCAUGCCGCGUGUGUGAAGAAGGCCCUCGGGUUGUAAAGCACUUUCAGCGAGGAAGAACGCCUAGCGGUUAAUACCCGCUAGGAAAGACAUCACUCGCAGAAGAAGCACCGGCUAACUCCGUGCCAGCAGCCGCGGUAAUACGGAGGGUGCAAGCGUUAAUCGGAAUUACUGGGCGUAAAGCGCGCGUAGGUGGCUUGAUAAGCCGGUUGUGAAAGCCCCGGGCUCAACCUGGGAACGGCAUCCGGAACUGUCAAGCUAGAGUGCAGGAGAGGAAGGUAGAAUUCCCGGUGUAGCGGUGAAAUGCGUAGAGAUCGGGAGGAAUACCAGUGGCGAAGGCGGCCUUCUGGACUGACACUGACACUGAGGUGCGAAAGCGUGGGUAGCAAACAGGAUUAGAUACCCUGGUAGUCCACGCCGUAAACGAUGUCGACCAGCCGUUGGGUGCCUAGCGCACUUUGUGGCGAAGUUAACGCGAUAAGUCGACCGCCUGGGGAGUACGGCCGCAAGGUUAAAACUCAAAUGAAUUGACGGGGGCCCGCACAAGCGGUGGAGCAUGUGGUUUAAUUCGAUGCAACGCGAAGAACCUUACCUACUCUUGACAUCCUGCGAAUUUGGUAGAGAUACCUUAGUGCCUUCGGGAACCGCAGAGACAGGUGCUGCAUGGCUGUCGUCAGC
rnacentral:rRNA from 1 species